rnacentral:tRNA from 1 species
GCGGGUAUAGCUCAGUUGGUAGAGCGUCUGCUUGCCAUGCAGAAGGUCGCUGGUUCGAAUCCUGUUGCCCGCUCCA